rnacentral:rRNA from 1 species
UACGGAGGGGACUAGCGUUGUUCGGAAUCACUGGGCGUAAAGCGCACGUAGGCGGAUCUUUAAGUCAGAGGUGAAAUCCCAAGGCUCAACCUUGGAACUGCCUUUGAUACUGGGGAUCUUGAGUCCGGGAGAGGUGAGUGGAACUGCGAGUGUAGAGGUGAAAUUCGUAGAUAUUCGCAAGAACACCAGUGGCGAAGGCGGCUCACUGGCCCGGUACUGACGCUGAGGUGCGAAAGCGUGGGGAGCAAACAGG